UGGGGAAUAUUGGACAAUGGGCGCAAGCCUGAUCCAGCCAUGCCGCGUGAGUGAUGAAGGCCCUAGGGUUGUAAAGCUCUUUCACCGGUGAAGAUAAUGACGGUAACCGGAGAAGAAGCCCCGGCUAACUUCGUGCCAGCAGCCGCGGUAAUACGAAGGGGGCUAGCGUUGUUCGGAUUUACUGGGCGUAAAGCGCACGUAGGCGGACUUUUAAGUCAGGGGUGAAAUCCCGGGGCUCAACCCCGGAACUGCCUUUGAUACUGGAAGUCUUGAGUAUGGUAGAGGUGAGUGGAAUUCCGAGUGUAGAGGUGAAGUGCGUAGAUAUUCGGAGGAACACCAGUGGCGGAGGCGGCUCACUGGACCAUUACUGACGCUGAGGUGCGAAAGCGUGGGGAGCAAACAGG
rnacentral:rRNA from 1 species